rnacentral:rRNA from 1 species
GUAAUGAAGGAGGAUAUUCUGCGAGCCGGUAAUCNUGUUAACUCUGUCGUGCUGGGAUAGAGCAUUGCAAUUAUUGCUCUUCAACGAGGAAUCCCUAGUAAGCGCAAGUCAUCAGCUUGCGUUGAUUACGUCCCUGCCCUUUGUACACACCGCCCGUCGCUACUACCGAUUGAAUGGCUCAGUGAGGCUCCGGACUGGCCCAGAGAGGUGGGCAACUACCACUCAGGGCCGGAAAGUUGUCCAAACUCGGUCAUUUAGAGGAAGUAAAAGUCGUAACAAGGUCUCCGUUGGUGAACCAGCGGAGGGAUCAUUAC